rnacentral:rRNA from 1 species
UUGACAUCCAGAGAAUUUAGCAGGGAUGCUUUAGUGCCUUCGGGAACUCUGAGACAGGUGCUGCAUGGCUGUCGUCAGCUCGUGUUGUGAAAUGUUGGGUUAAGUCCCGCAACGAGCGCAACCCUUAUCCUUUGUUGCCAGCACGUAAUGGUGGGAACUCAAAGGAGACUGCCGGUGAUAAACCGGAGGAAGGUGGGGAUGACGUCAAGUCAUCAUGGCCCUUACGAGUAGGGCUACACACGUGCUACAAUGGCGCAUACAAAGAGAAGCGACCUCGCGAGAGCAAGCGGACCUCAUAAAGUGCGUCGUAGUCCGGAUUGGAGUCUGCAACUCGACUCCAUGAAGUCGGAAUCGCUAGUAAUCGUAAAUCAGAAUGUUACGGUGAAUACGUUCCCGGGCCUUGUACACACCGCCCGUCACACCAUGGGAGUGGGUUGCAAAAGAAGUAGAUAGCUUAACCUUCGGGAGGGCGUUUACCACUUUGUGAUUCAUGACUGGGGUGAAGUCGUAACAAGGUAAGCGUAGUGCU